rnacentral:rRNA from 1 species
UAGUAACCGGAGGAAGAGAAAGAAAAUUCGAUUCCCUUAGUAGCGGCGAGCGAAACGGGAAGAGCCCAAACCAACAAGCUUGCUUGUUGGGGUUGUAGGACACUCUAUACGGAGUUACAAAGGACGACAUUAGACGAAUCAUCUGGAAAGAUGAAUCAAAGAAGGUAAUAAUCCUGUAGUCGAAAAUGUUGUCUCUCUUGAGUGGAUCCUGAGUACGACGGAGCACGUGAAAUUCCGUCGGAAUCUGGGAGGACCAUCUCCUAAGGCUAAAUACUCUCUAGUGACCGAUAGUGAACCAGUACCGUGAGGGAAAGGUGAAAAGCACCCCGGAAGGGGAGUGAAAUAGAACCUGAAACCGUGUGCUUACAAGUAGUCAGAGCCCGUUAAUGGGUGAUGGCGUGCCUUUUGUAGAAUGAACCGGCGAGUUACGAUUUGAUGCAAGGUUAAGCAGUAAAUGUGGAGCCGUAGCGAAAGCGAGUCUGAAUAGGGCGUUUAGUAUUUGGUCGUAGACCCGAAACCAGGUGAUCUACCCUUGGUCAGGUUGAAGUUCAGGUAACACUGAAUGGAGGACCGAACCGACUUACGUUGAAAAGUGAGCGGAUGAACUGAGGGUAGCGGAGAAAUUCCAAUCGAACCUGGAGAUAGCUGGUUCUCUCCGAAAUAGCUUUAGGGCUAGCCUCAAGUGAUGAUUAUUGGAGGUAGAGCACUGUUUGGACGAGGGGCCCCUCUCGGGUUACCGAAUUCAGACAAACUCCGAAUGCCAAUUAAUUUAACUUGGGAGUCAGAACAUGGGUGAUAAGGUCCGUGUUCGAAAGGGAAACAGCCCAGACCACCAGCUAAGGUCCCAAAAUAUAUGUUAAGUGGAAAAGGAUGUGGCGUUGCCCAGACAACUAGGAUGUUGGCUUAGAAGCAGCCAUCAUUUAAAGAGUGCGUAAUAGCUCACUAGUCGAGUGACACUGCGCCGAAAAUGU